rnacentral:rRNA from 1 species
GCCCUUUACAUGAGCAAAAUCUCAACUUUAUUAGAAGAGACGCAUUUAUUAGAUAAAAAGCCAAUGCAUGCUUUUACAGUAUGAAAAUUGGUGAUUUAUAAUAACUUAGCAAAUCGCAUAGUGAAAACAGGCGAUAAAUCAUUCAAGUUUUUGACCUAUCAGCUUUCGACGGUAUGGUAUUGGCUUACCGUGGCAGUGACGGUUAACGGGGGAUUAGGGUUCGAUUCCGGAGAGGGAGCCUGAGAAACGGCUACCACAUCUAAGGAAGGCAGCAGGCGCGCAAAUUACCCAAUUCUAACAGUUUGAGAGAGGUAGUAACAAGAAAUAACAAUACAAGGCAGUUAAAAUGCUUUGUAAUUGGAAUGAUAGAAAUCUAAACCCUUUUUAAAGUAUCAAUUGGAGGGCAAGUCUGGUGCCAGCAGCCGCGGUAAUUCCAGCUCCAAUAGCGUAUAUUAAAAUUGUUGCAGUUAAAAAGCUCGUAGUUGAAGUUCUGCUAAAAGUAACCGGUCUGCUUUGAAUAAAAGUGGUAUCUUGGUAUGUAUUUAGCAAUGAUGUCCUUUGAAGUGUUUUUUACUUUAUUGUAAUAAAGCAUAUUCAGGACUUUUACUUUGAGAAAAUUAGAGUGUUUCUAGCAGGCCAACGCUUUGAAUACUGCAGCAUGGAAUAAUAAGAAGGGC